CGCACGGGCGAGUAACGCGUAAGUAAUCUACCCUGGUAUCUGGGAUAACCCACCGAAAGGUGUGCUAAUACCGGAUACGCUGAUUUAUCAGGGAAGGUGGCCUCUUCAUGAAAGCUACUGUACUAGGAGGAGCUUGCGUACCAUUAGCUAGUUGGUAGGGUAAUGGCCUACCAAGGCAACGAUGGUUAGCGGGUCUGAGAGGAUGAUCCGCCACACUGGAACUGGAACACGGACCAG
rnacentral:rRNA from 1 species